UACGUAGGGGGCGAGCGUUGUCCGAAGUUACUGGGCGUAAAGCGCGCGUAGGCGGUCCUUUAAGUCUGAGGUGAAAGGUUCAGCGCUCAACGUGAACAGUGCCUUGGAGACUGGGGGACUUGAGUGUGGGAGAGGGCAGUGGAAUUCCUGGUGUAGCGGUGAAAUGCGCAGAUAUCAGGAAGAACACCCGUGGCGAAGGCGGCUCUCUGGGACGGUACUGACGCUGAGACGCGAAAGCGUGGGGAGCGAACAGG
rnacentral:rRNA from 1 species